ensembl:misc_RNA
UUGACAGACCUGCAGACCGAAGUCCUUCAAUCAUCUGGAAAAGGAGCAGCCCAGACAGCAGCCGUGCACCCAUCCCCACAUUAGUCCUUCAUGUCUCAACCCUAUUUUGGAGGAAUCACUGCUAUGGGAAAAGAGAUAGUCUGGUCUUCAUGCCCAUUUAAUCCUUCACCUCC